UCUUUUUCGUUAUCUCCUAUAAAUUCAAUCACACACAAAAAAAAAAAAACACCCAAUGAAAUCCCCAAAUCUCCAACUUCACCCAUAAUCAGUUAAUCACUCUUAGACUUCUUCCCUCUUUUUUAUUCCCUUUUAUCGAUUAUCAAUCAAACCCUAAUUUCAAUAUUCAAUCUCCCCAAUUUAUCGAAAAUUAACAUCAUCUUCUACAAAUUAGGGUUUCCAAUUUCCUCCAAAUGAAGGUCCACCCAAUUCCAAAGAAGCGCAACAUAACCCUACGAUACGACAUCGCAUCAUCAUCACCAAAUUCAUUAACAACACCUUGUAGAGGUCAAAAGAAGCUUCGAAGACUCCCACACAUCUUCGCGAAGGUUCUAGAACUUCCCUUCUGUUCCGACGCUGACGUGGCAAUCGAAGAAUCCGUCGACUCGUUCAAAUUCACGGUGUUUGACACGGAUGUGGGGUCCGAUGUGGUGGCUGACACGGUGGAGAUUUAUCCAGGUGUCACCAAGAUAGUGGUCAGGAGUCAUUCCAUUGCUGACGUGUCGAUGACGGAGCUUGAACUUGAUUUAUGGCGGUUUCGUCUGCCAGCGUGUACUAAGCCCGAAUUAGCGACUGCCACGUAUGAUGGUGGUGAUUUGGUGGUGGUCGUUCCUAAAGAAGAGGAGGAGAGAGAAAAUGGGAGGGAAGUUGUUUGGGGUGAGGGCAAUCUUGUCAUUGUACAGUAAUAAUGCCUUUUGUAGUGUUUGGAGAUGCUAAAGGAGAAAAGUGCCGAAUGCUUGAAAGUUGAAUUGUGGCUUACCUUGAAGGUUAACAUAUGUGCUGUGUAGAGGUGCAGCACUGCGAGGUUAUGUGGGUUGAUUUUAGCCAGCUAUUUUCUUGUCACAUGAAUCCGUGGGAGGUGCUUUUGUAACUAUAGUACUUACCUAACUAAAAUCUAGCCAACUAGAAUCCGACAAACUCCCACAUGACACGACAAAUAUUACAUAUUGAUUUAUUUGCCAGCUUGCUCGCUGUACUUCGAUCGAAUGGGCUCGAAUUUGCAAUGCUAACUCAUGGUAGAGAGUAAUAUAAGAUCAUGGAGAGCCGUUUAGCAAUGUUCAUUGGCAUGAGUCAGAUGAUUUGAGAUGUCCUUUGGGUGAAAUCAGUAGGUCAAGUCAUUUUAUCUUGAUGAUUCCUGGGAUGGGUCAGUGCGUGUGACAUAACACAUAAGAGAAUAAGCCAAAGGAUGUAAGACAAUGGUUGGACUAUCAUGGCUACCGGUUAUCUACUAAAUGCAUUUCUACCCGUUUCUUUAA